rnacentral:lncRNA from 1 species
AUUUAAAGUGUUGAUUUUUCUGUUGCCUAUUAUUUCAUGACAGUCUUCAAGAAGCCUUAAGAAAGAGGAGAAAUGAACAGAUGGCCAGGCCAGCUCUUUGAACCUGGCAUGAGAUAGUUAUUUAUAUGGGGCUAUGAAAAUUGUUAAGUCUGAGUUGGUAUCUGUCUUUGGAAACAGGGCUCUCUACUCACCAGCCCUCCAAGAGGACAUGACAGACCCCACAGAGAGAAAAGAAAACUUGAAGAUGGUAGAUACAGAUCUCUACCGGCACACUGCUUAUAUGGACAACAGCAAAGAUGUUUGUACAAAAGUUUUGGAAGUCUGUAACAGAUCCCACUACAAGAAUGCAAACCCAGUGUGCACCACGAAAUGA